GUGCUCCCCCGCCAAUUCCUUUAAGUUUCAGCCUUGCGGCCGUACUUCCCAGGUGGCUCGCUUCACGGCUUCCCUGCGGCACCAGACACGGUCGCGCCAUGCCUGACACCUAGCGAGCAUCGUUUACGGCUGGGACUACCCGGGUAUCUAAUCCGGUUCGUGCCCCCAGCUUUCGUCCCUCACCGUCGAACCCGUUCUGGUAAGACGCCUUCGCCACAGGUGGUCCCACAGGGAUUACAAGAUUUCACUCCUACCCCUGUAGUACCUCUUACCUCUCCCGGUUCCAAGCCUGGCAGUAUCCCCCGAAAGCCUAACGGUUAAGCCGUCAGAUUUCCCGGAGGACUGACCAAACCGGCUACGGACCCUUUAGACCCAAUAAUCACGAUCACCACUCGGGCCGCCGGUGUUACCGCGGCGGCUGGCACCGGUCUUGCCCGGCCCUUGCUAACAGGUGUAUUUUACACACCUGGACAGCCAGCAUAUGAUGCUGGCACUCGGUGUCCCCUUAUCACGGUUUCCCGCAUUGUAAAGUUUUCGCGCCUGCUGCGCCCCGUAGGGCCUGGAUUCAUGUCUCAGAAUCCAUCUCCGGGCUCUUGCUCUCACAACCCGUACCCGUUGUAGGCUAGUAGGUACAUUACACCCACUACUACCUGAUAGGCCGCAGACCCAUCCUUGGGCAGACGAAUCCAUUUUACGCAUAAAGCAUUCCAGCAUAUGUGCGUUAUCCGGAAUUAUCCCCAGUUUCCCGGGGUUAUGCCGGACCCAAGGGCAGGUUAUCCACGUGUUACUGAGCAGU
rnacentral:rRNA from 1 species